UUCGGCGACCAUAGGUCAGGGGUCACACCUGUUCCCAUCCCGAACACAGCAGUUAAGCCCUGGCCGCCGAUGAUACUGCACUGCGGGAAAGUAGGUCAUCGCCGUAC
rnacentral:rRNA from 1 species